rnacentral:rRNA from 1 species
GACGAACGCUGGCGGCGUGCUUAACACAUGCAAGUCGAACGGAAAGGCCCUGCUUGCAGGGUACUCGAGUGGCGAACGGGUGAGUAACACGUGGGUGAUCUGCCCUGCACUUCGGGAUAAGCCUGGGAAACUGGGUCUAAUACCGGAUAGGAGCCAUUUUUAGUGUGACGGUUGGAAAGUUUUUUCGGUGUAGGAUGAGCUCGCGGCCUAUCAGCUUGUUGGUGGGGUAAUGGCCUACCAAGGCGGCGACGGGUAGCCGGCCUGAGAGGGUGGACGGCCACAUUGGGACUGAGAUACGGCCCAGACUCCUACGGGAGGCAGCGGUGGGGAAUAUUGCACAAUGGGCGCAAGCCUGAUGCAGCGACGCCGCGUGGGGGAUGACGGCCUUCGGGUUGUAAACUCCUUUCGCUAGGGACGAAGCUUUUUGUGACGGUACCUAGAUAAGAAGCACCGGCUAACUACGUG